GAUACCUCAGUUGGUUAGAGUGUGGUGCUAACAAUACCAAGGUUGCUGGUUUGAUCCCUGUAAGGGACCA